rnacentral:rRNA from 1 species
CGAACGGGUGAGUAGCACGUGGGCAACCUGCCCAAAAGAGGGGGAUAACACUUGGAAACAGGUGCUAAUACCGCAUAACCAUAGUUACCGCAUGGUAACUAUGUAAAAGGUGGCUAUGCUACCGCUUUUGGAUGGGCCCGCGACGCAUUAGCUAGUUGGUGGGGUAAAGGCUUACCAAGGCAAUGAUGCGUAGCCGAACUGAGAGGUUGAUCGGCCACAUUGGGACUGAGACACGGCCCAAACUCCUACGGAAGGCAGCAG